CAACGAGCCUAGCCUUGGCCGAGAGGCCCGGGUAAUCUUUGAAACUGCAUCGUGAUGGGGAUAGAUUAUUGCAAUUAUUAAUCUUCAACGAGGAAUGCCUAGUAAGCGCAAGUCAUCAGCUUGCGUUGAUUACGUCCCUGCCCUUUGUACACACCGCCCGUCGCUCCUACCGAUUGGGUGUGCUGGUGAAGUGUUCGGAUUGGCGACCGGGGGCGGUCUCCGCUCUCGGCCGCCGAGAAGUUCAUUAAACCCUCCCACCUAGAGGAAGGAGAAGUCGUAACAAGGUUUCCGUAGGUGAACCUGCGGAAGGAUCAUUGAAUCGAUCGAAUCCACCUUUGGUAACCAAACGUCUCCCUCGUGGCACGGCUAGUUGCUGUGUGCGAGCGUCGGUCCCCUGGCCGCGGCUCCCGAGCCACUGUUUCAGGUCCGGCGGGCGUCUUCCUCAUAUGAGGGGCCUCCUUUGGGGAGAAGACGUCGGUAAUUUUAUCCAACCCAACCCACUCCAAACCUCAACAUCCACUAAUGCAAUUGACGGUACAGAUUCGUCUGUCCGUCUCCAAACCAAAGACAACUCUCAACAACGGAUAUCUUGGCUCCCGUAUCGAUGAAGAACGCAGCGAAAUGCGAUACGUAGUGUGAAUUGCAGAAUUCCGUGAACCAUCGAAUCUUUGAACGCAAAUUGCGCCCACGGCUUCGGUCAAGGGCAUGUCUGCCUCAGCGUCGGUUUACACCCUCGCCCUCCCCCUCGACGCGAGGGGCGUGUGGCGGAUCUGGCCCUCCCGGCUCGGUCGGCCCGUGCGGCCGGCUCCGGGUUGGCUGAAGCACAGAGGCUUGAGCAUGGACCCCGUUUGUAGGGUAAUGACUUGGUAGGUAGGUUUUCCUGCACAACCCGUCGUUGCCCGAGGGAACUUUGCUGGAGGCCCCGCAGGAAUUCGAGUGCGCGCCGUUGGCGCCCUCGGACCCCCCAACCUUCGACCUGAGCUCAGGCAAGACUACCCGCUGAACUUAAGCAUAUCAUUAAGCGGAGGAAAAGAAACUAACUAGGAUGCCCUUAGUAACGGCGAGCGAACCGGGCAAAGCCCAACUUGAAAAUCUCCAGCCUCCGGCUGGCGAAUUGUAGUCUAGAGAAGCGCUCUCUGCUCCAGUCCUGUCCCAAGUCCCCUGGAAAGGGGCGUCAAAGAGGGUGAGAACCCCGUUGGGACCGGCUCCUGGGUCUCCACGAGACGCUUUCGUAGAGUCGGGUUGUUUGGGAAUGCAGCCCAAAGCAGGUGGUAAU
rnacentral:sRNA from 1 species